rfam:Triticum aestivum genome assembly, contig: Triticum_aestivum_CS42_TGACv1_scaffold_501375_6BL
AAAGUACUCCCUACAUCCCAAAAUUCUUGUCUUAGAUUUGUCUAGAUACGGAUGUAUCAAGUCAUAUUUUAGUAUUAGAUACAUCUGUAUAUAGAAAAAUCUAAGACAAGAAUUUUGGGACGGAGGGAGUAGUGG